AACGCUAGCGGCAGGCCUAACACAUGCAAGUCGAGGGGUAACAGGGAGCUUGCUCCGCUGACGACCGGCGCACGGGUGCGCAACGCGUAUGCAAUCUACCUCUUACUAAGGGAUAGCCCAGAGAAAUUUGGAUUAAUAUCUUAUGUGAUAUUAGACUGGCAUCGGUUUAAUAUUAAAGGUUACGGUAAGAGAUGAGCAUGCGUCUCAUUAGUUAGUUGGUAAGGUAACGGCUUACCAAGACUUCGAUGAGUAGGGGUCCUGAGAGGGAGAUCCCCCACACUGGUACUGAGACACGGACCAGACUCCUACGGGAGGCAGCAGUGAGGAAUAUUGGACAAUGGACGGAAGUCUGAUCCAGCCAUGCCGCGUGUAGGAAGACUGCCCUAUGGGUUGUAAACUACUUUUAUACAGGAAGAAUAAGAUCUACGUGUAGAUUGAUGACGGUACUGUAAGAAUAAGGACCGGCUAACUCCGUGCCAGCAGCCGCGGUAAUACGGAGGGUCCGAGCGUUAUCCGGAAUUAUUGGGUUUAAAGGGUCCGUAGGCGGGCUGUUAAGUCAGAGGUGAAAUGCUGCGGCUCAACCGUAUGCACUGCCUUUGAUACUGGCGGUCUUGAGUUAUAGUGAAGUGGCUAGAAUAAGUAGUGUAGCGGUGAAAUGCAUAGAUAUUACUUAGAAUACCGAUUGCGAAGGCAGGUCACUAACUAUACACUGACGCUGAUGGACGAAAGCGUGGGUAGCGAACAGGAUUAGAUACCCUGGUAGUCCACGCCGUAAACGAUGGAUACUAGCUGUUCGGUUUUCGGACUGAGCGGCCAAGCGAAAGUGAUAAGUAUCCCAC
rnacentral:rRNA from 2 species